rnacentral:rRNA from 1 species
UACGGAGGGUGCAAGCGUUGUCCGGAUUUAUUGGGUUUAAAGGGUGCGUAGGCGGCUCUUUAAGUCAGUGGUGAAAUCCUACAGCUUAACUGCAGAACAGCCAUUGAUACUGAAGAGCUUGAGUACAGACGAGGUAGGCGGAAUUUAUGGUGUAGCGGUGAAAUGCAUAGAUACCAUAAAGAACUCCUAUUGCGAAGGCAGCUUACUAGGCUGUAACUGACGCUGAGGCACGAAAGCGUGGGGAUCAAACAGG